rnacentral:rRNA from 1 species
CCUACGGGAGGCAGCAGUGGGGAAUUUUGCGCAAUGGGGGGAACCCUGACGCAGCGACGCCGCGUGGGUGAUGAAGGCCUUCGGGUUGUAAAGCCCUGUUGGGGGGGAAGAUAAUGACGGUACCCCCUGAGGAAGCCCCGGCUAACUACGUGCCAGCAGCCGCGGUAAGACGUAGGGGGCGAGCGUUGUCCGGAAUUACUGGGCGUAAAGGGCGUGUAGGCGGCCUUUCAAGUCGGCUGUGAAAUUCCCCGGCUCAACCGGGGGGGUGCAGUCGAAACUGGGGGGCUUGAGUACAGGAGAGGGUGGUGGAAUUCCCGGUGGAGCGGUGACAUGCGUAGAUAUCGGGAGGAACACCGGUGGCGAAGGCGACCUCCUGGCCUGUUACUGACGCUGAGGCGCGAAAGCCGGGGGAGCAAACAGGAUUAGAUACCCUGGUAGUCCCGGCCGUAAACUCUGGGUACUAGGUGUAGGGGGCUUCGAUGCCUUCUGUGCCGUAGUUAACGCAUUAAGUACCCCGCCUGGGGAGUACGAUCGCAAGGUUGAAACUCAAAUGAAUUGACGG